rnacentral:rRNA from 1 species
AUUGAACGCUGGCGGCAUGCCUUACACAUGCAAGUCGAACGGCAGCACGGGCUUCGGCCUGGUGGCGAGUGGCGAACGGGUGAGUAAUACAUCGGCACGUGCCCUGUAGUGGGGGAUAACUAGUCGAAAGAUUAGCUAAUACCGCAUACGACCUGAGGGUGAAAGCGGGGGACCGUAAGGCCUCGCGCUACAGGAGCGGCGGAUGUCUGGUUAGCUAGUUGGUGGGGUAAGAGCCUACCAAGGCGACGAUCAGUAGCUGGUCUGAGAGGACGAUCAGCCACACUGGGACUGAGACACGGCCCAGACUCCUACGGGAGGCAGCAGUGGGGAAUUUUGGACAAUGGGGGCAACCCUGAUCCAGCAAUGCCGCGUGUGUGAAGAAGGCCUUCGGGUUGUAAAGCACUUUUGUCCGGAAAGAAAUGGCUCUGGUUAAUACCUGGGGUCGAUGACGGUACCGGAAGAAUAAGCACCGGCUAACUACGUGCCAGCCGCCGCGGUAA